GCGAGGGAACAUUACCGGCGUGCAUGUGAAAUGUUAGAGUGUGUCCGAGGGGGAGAGGUAUGUAGGUUCAUUAUACCAGUUAAAGGUUUAGGAGAGCUGUAGGACAAUAUGGUAAAGCGAGUAUGGGAUGGUCUAGUUCUUGAGUUAAUAGCAUUGGGGGACUCCGAUAUUGGUGGUCGCUACUUAGAAAGUGUAGGUUGAUCGCCGAUAGUCGUGAUAGUCAGAAGACCCCGACAAGCAACGGGUUGGGUCACCGAUAUUGGUGACGGGAGAGAAUGGUAUCUGUGUGUGUGAGUGGCCUAUUAGGAGUCGAGAGAUAGAAGGUUGAGACUUGGUCGCCGAUAUUGGUGACAAGUAAAAACAUUUAUACUCAUGAUGUAACCUCGGAAGGCGGUCAUAUUUGAUAGGUAAUGUAAUUAAUUUACUGGGGCAUG
rnacentral:lncRNA from 1 species